rnacentral:rRNA from 1 species
AUUGAACGCUGGCGGCAUGCCUUACACAUGCAAGUCGAACGGCAGCGCGGGGCAACCUGGCGGCGAGUGGCGAACGGGUGAGUAAUAUAUCGGAACGUACCCUGGAGUGGGGGAUAACGUAGCGAAAGUUACGCUAAUACCGCAUACGAUCUAAGGAUGAAAGUGGGGGAUUCGCAAGAACCUCAUGCUCCUGGAGCGGCCGAUAUCUGAUUAGCUAGUUGGGGGGUAAAGGCCUACCAAGGCAUCGAUCAGUAGCUGGUCUGAGAGGACGACCAGCCACACUGGAACUGAGACACGGUCCAGACUCCUACGGGAGCAGCAGUGGGGAAUUUUGGACAAUGGGCGAAAGCCUGAUCCAGCAAUGCCGCGUGAGUGAAGAAGGCCU